CCCUGCUCCUUGCCACCCACCUAAGGGGCAGGGCCCUUGAUGGGGGCAGCAGCCCCCGUCGUGGUGUCGGGGAGUGCACGCCCCUCCCCAGCAGGGGUGCUGCACUGGGGAGGCAGGCAGGGCUACAGCAGACUGCACGCAGCAGCGCUGGGGCUCGGAGGGAGCCAGAGCCCUCCAAACCCCCACCCUCCACCCCAGUGCUGCCACACAGUCCACAGCAGUUUCCCUGCCCAACAGCACAGCCCCCCCACUGGGAACCCGUGACAAGGGCUGUUGCCCCCAUCAAGAGCCCUGCCCCAUCACUGCUGCAUUUCCCCCUCUUUCCCCAGGGGACCACAGCAGGGUCUACCCAUCCCAACUGCCACUACUGCUCACUCUGUGCCUGGAGCAAACCCCUCCCUGACCCCUGCCUAAGGGGUCCUACUGGCCAGCAUCUGGCCCUGCUUGGCCCCUGGAGCAGCAAGGGAGGAGCGACCAUGAUGGAGACAACAGCCAGCCCCUCUCAUGGUGUCAGGGAGUGCAAGCCCUUUCCCAUGGGGGAGCCACGCUGCCCCCUCCAAGUCCCAGUGCUGCUGUGUGUAGUCCAUAGCAGCUCUUCCUGCCCUGCAGUGAAGCACCCCUGUCAAGAAGGGGCUCAGGCUCCCCAACUUCAUGACAGGGGCUGCUGCCCCAAUCUAGAGCUCUGCCCCUUGUCGCUGCAGCAGUGGGUGAGAGGCAUGGCCAGAGGCCAGUUGGCAGGGCCCCUUAGGUGGGGGUUAUUCCCCCUCCCUCUAAUAUCCAGUGGUGGGGGCAGCAGGAGGCUUAAAACAGGAAGGGGUCUGGGACAGUUUGCAUAAACCAGUUUGAGCUCAAUCAGUUAAGUCUGAUAAUUCAAUCAGGUUAUCUCAAACCAGUUUUGGCCAUUUUGAAACUGGUUUAUGUGCGCUGAAUGUCUGUUUUGUUACAGGUUUAAACCACUUUCUGAUUACUUUAACCAGUUUAUGUGUAAUGUCUGUCCCUAGCCCAUAAGUUCUGCCAAUUUUCUCUAAAGCAGCUUCUAGCUGGCAAUGUCCACCGUGAGAUGUCUUGAGUCUAAUUGUGAGGAAUGCUGAGCCUUCAAAAAACCAGUGUAGAUUGAUGAGAUCUGCAGGGUCCCUGGGCCUCUGAGAGGGAUCAGAU
rnacentral:lncRNA from 1 species